rnacentral:tRNA from 1 species
UCCCUCAUAGCUCAGUUGGUAGAGAAUUUGUCUGCAAUGCAGAAGACCUGGGUUCGAUUCCUGAGUUGGGAA